GACGUAGGGCGCGAGCGUUGUCCGGAUUUAUUGGGCGUAAAGAGCUCGUAGGCGGCUUGUCGCGUCGACUGUGAAAACCCGAGGCUCAACUUCGGGCUUGCAGUCGAUACGGGCAGGCUAGAGUUCGGUAGGGGAGAGCUGGAAUUCCUGGUGUAGCGGUGAAAUGCGCAGAUAUAGGAGGAAUACCGGUGGCGAAGGGCG
rnacentral:rRNA from 1 species